GAUGAACGCUAGCGGCAGGCUUAAUACAUGCAAGUCGUGGGGCAGCAGGUCUGUAGCAAUACAGAUGCUGGCGACCGGCAAACGGGUGCGUAACACGUACGCAACCUUCCCGUUACUGUGGCAUAGCCCAGGGAAACUUGGAUUAAUACCACAUAUUAUAUUGGAGAGGCAUCUCUUUGAUAUCAAAGCUUCGGCGGUAACGGAUGGGCAUGCGGUUGAUUAGGUAGUUGGCGGGGUAACGGCCCACCAAGCCUACGAUCAAUAGCUGGUGUGAGAGCAUGAUCAGCCACACGGGCACUGAGACACGGGGCCGACUCCUACGGGAGGCAGCAGUAAGGAAUAUUGGGCAAUGGACGCAAGUCUGACCCAGCCAUGCCGCGUGAAGGAUUAAGGUCCUCUGGAUUGUAAACUUCUUUUCUCUGGGGCGAAAACCAUCUAUUCUUAGGUGUUUGACAGUACCAGAGGAAUAAGCACCGGCUAACUCCGUGCCAGCAGCCGCAGUAACAC
rnacentral:rRNA from 1 species